GUGGAUUACAGCCUAAGCGUUUUUGAGGCUGAGUUUAACAUAACAACUGGUGGCCAAUGGAGGUAGCACUAAAGGUAGAACCAACUAGUCAGAAGUCCUCUGGUGAGGUGCAUUGGUUGGUGCCUUGCAAAUUAGACUGACAGAAGACAGAUUAACAGUGAACGCCUUACCAAGAAGACGUUUUACCAUGAUGCCUUUUUCUGGUCAGAAGCUGAUGUUUGUGAUAGCACAGUCCAUUCAUUGGUCAGAACAAUGACAACAACGCAUGGCACUCCAUUUUCAGAAGAGGGAUAUUCAAGGGUCAUGCUGGAGUUAAGAAAUUCAGUGUCCAGAUGUUUCAGAAUCCAGAUGGCCUAUGAAUCCUCUAUCACCCAGAAAGGAGGAAAAUAUGCAUGAAAGUGGAACACUGAAAAGAAAAAAAAAAUAAUUUAGUGUUGGCAAUGUAAUGGCGACAUACAGGGCUCAAGGAAAAGCUUCCUUUCCUAAAGCAGCAACUUAAUAAAGUGCAUGUUGUAGGCUCUAUCA